rnacentral:lncRNA from 1 species
UGCCAAAUGUAAGCGGGUCUGGCCUCGUGGAGGCGGGACGUUACAAAACCCCUGCCCCAAUUCGAUGCAGGACGAUACUCCGACGCCUCUUAUGUUUUCACGAACGACUACUACCAAAAGGCCGGCGCCUUCUUCACCCGUACCAACAACACUCUCCUCAACAUCCAGAAUACGCAAGCAGAACAUGGAAGACUCAUAGAACAGCAACAAAAAUGGAACCAGGACCACGCCACUGCAGUACAAGAACUGAGACAAGACACCACGACAAUGAACGACAACAUCACCACC